CUACGACGGGUACGGGUUGUGAGAGCAAGAGCCCGGAGAUGGAUUCUGAGACACGAAUCCAGGCCCUACGGGGUGCAGCAGGCGCGAAAACUUUACAAUGCCGGCAACGGCGAUAAGGGGACCUCGAGUGCCAGGUUACAAAUCUGGCUGUCGUGAUGCCUAAAAAGCAUUUCAUAGCAAGGGCCGGGCAAGACCGGUGCCAGCCGCCGCGGUAACACCGGCGGCUCGAGUGGUAACCGUUAUUAUUGGGUCUAAAGGGUCUGUAGCCGGCCGGAUAAGUCUCUUGAGAAAUCUGGCAGCUUAACUGUCAGGCUUUCAGGAGAUACUGUCUGGCUCGAGGCCGGGAGAGGUGAGAGGUACUUCAGGGGUAGGGGUGAAAUCUUGUAAUCCUUGAAGGACCACCAGUGGCGAAGGCGUCUCACCAGAACGGACCUGACGGCAAGGGACGAAAGCUAGGGGCACGAACCGGAUUAGAUACCCGGGUAGUCCUAGCCGUAAACGAUACUCGCUAGGUGUCGGCCACGGUGCGACCGUUGUCGGUGCCGUAGGGAAGCCGUGAAGCGAGC
rnacentral:rRNA from 1 species